rnacentral:rRNA from 1 species
UGGGGAAUAUUGCACAAUGGGCGCAAGCCUGAUGCAGCAACGCCGCGUGAAUGAUGAAGGCCUUCGGGUCGUAAAGUUCUGUCCAAAGGGAAGAAUAAAAUGACGGCACCUUUGGAGGAAGCCCCGGCUAACUACGUGCCAGCAGCCGCGGUAAUACGUAGGGGGCAAGCGUUAUCCGGAAUCACUGGGCGUAAAGGGAGCGUAGGCGGUUUGACAAGCCAGAGGUGAAAGGCAAUAGCUUAACUAUUGUAAGCCUUUGGAACUGUCGAACUUGAGUGCAGGAGAGGAAAGUGGAAUUCCUAGUGUAGCGGUGAAAUGCGUAGAUAUUAGGAGGAACACCAGUGGCGAAGGCGACUUUCUGGACUGUAACUGACGCUGAGGCUCGAAAGCGUGGGGAGCGAACA